rnacentral:rRNA from 1 species
AUUGAACGCUGGCGGCAGGCCUAACACAUGCAAGUCGAACGAGCGGCGGACGGGUGAGUAAUGUAUGGGAAUCUGCCCGAUAGAGGGGGAUAAAUACUGGAAACGGUAGCUAAUACCGCAUACUAUCGGAUGAACCCAGAUGGGAUUAGCUAGUAGGUGGGGUAACGGCUCACCUAGGCGACGAUCUCUAGCUGGUCUGAGAGGAUGACCAGCCACACUGGGACUGAGACACGGUCCAGACUCCUACGGGAGGCAGCAGUGGGGAAUAUUGCGCAAUGGGCGCAACCCUGAUGCAGCCAUGCCGCGUGUAUGAAGAAGGCCUUCGGGUUGUAAAGUUCUUUCGGUAGGGAGGCGUUAACUACAGAAGAAGCACCGGCUAACUCCGUGCCAGCAGCCGCGGUAAUAC